rnacentral:lncRNA from 1 species
UGGCAGCCAAUACCAGGCAAAGAUAACCGAAACACUGACCCCAUGACAAAAAUGACAGUCAUUGUAAUAGAUACAGGUACUUUCAAUGAUCAGACACACUGUAAAACAACCAGGCUUAUUAUUGUUUAAUAAGUGCAGUCGUUUAAGAACAAUGAAAACGGUGAAGAACCCUGAGGUGAGAGGAAAAAAAACAACUGGAUGUAUUAGGAGAUGAGAAUUGAGAUCGAGGGGCGGGGAUGUAGUGCCGCUCUGGUUUUCCUCAGUGACUCAGAGCCUCAAACCUGCCCCAUAGGUGCCUCCUCAACCCUGGUCCCUCUCCUGCUCAAACACCCGCCAUGGCUCCCUAUCGCCCACAGGAUACUGUCCCCACCUGCGCUCUGGGACAACCCGCCCUCAGCACGGGGCCACUGUGCUCAACCAGAGAGGCUGUCAGGGUCUUGGCUCAGAAAUACUCCGCCUUCCCCUCGCCAGGCCCUGGAUCCCUGCAGUUCUCCGACGCCCCCUGCUGGCUGUCUGUGGGACUCAGGCACAGAUUGAUUCCCCGGAAUCUGCAAAGGUGCCUGAGGAGGGCGCGGGUGGCUCUGAGACCUGACAGUGGUGGGUCACUGCAGAUCCGCGCUCAGGGGCUCCACCCGUAGCCAAAGUCCAUCCUCCGCGCGCACGAUCAGCUCCAGCUUCCUGCGGGGCUCCGCGUGGUCCGGCAGGACGCGGAAGCGCAGCAGCGUGAGCGCCAGGACCACCUUCAUCUCAGCCAUGGCGAACGUCUGGCCGAUGCAGUUCCCGGGGGAGGGGGUGGGGACUCUGACUGUGCCCAGGACCCCCAUCCCGGCCCCAUCGCGCCGGGAACCUCGUCUGGGACUCCCAACCCCACCCAGAUCCGAUUGAGGGGCAGAGAGAGGGACUCUGUGCCUGGGACCCCCAUGUGGGCUUGCAUAUCCUCCGAGCCUGGCUUAGACUCCAGCCCCCAGACCAGCAGACGUAGGAGUGGGGAAGUCUGAGAACACACACCCCCUUUUCCUGGGAUCUUAUUAAAACCCUCGACUCCCUGAAACACGUGGCCCCACAAGUCAGACCUUGCCUCCACCUGUGGCACCCUCACCCGAUGCCCGCCUCAGAAGCCCCUUAGCCUCACCUGGGCACUGCUGAGAAGGGAAUAAAAGCCAGAGGUGAUGUCUUCUGGAGAUUUUCUGGGUCGAAGCGAAAGGGGUCAUAGACCUGGUGGGUGGGCAAGUUAGGGCUGUUGGGUGGGGGUCUCUCAGGACACCCAGCCACCCGCAUAUAAGACAGAUGUGAAGCCGGGCACGGUGACUCAUGCCUGUAAUCCCAGCACUUUGGGAGGCUGAGGGGCGAAACUCCUGAGGUUGGGAGUUCGAGAUCAACCUGACCAACAUGGAGAAACCCCG